CAACCUACCGCUUACUCGGGGAUAGCCUUUCGAAAGAAAGAUUAAUACCCGAUGGUAUAAAGAGUUCGCAUGUUCUCUUUAUUAAAGAAUUUCGGUAAGCGAUGGGGAUGCGUUCCAUUAGAUAGUUGGCGGGGUAACGGCCCACCAAGUCUACGAUGGAUAGGGGUUCUGAGAGGAAGGUCCCCCACAUUGGAACUGAGACACGGUCCAAACUCCUACGGGAGGCAGCAGUGAGGAAUAUUGGUCAAUGGACGAGAGUCUGAACCAGCCAAGUAGCGUGAAGGAUGACUGCCCUAUGGGUUGUAAACUUCUUUUAUAAGGGAAUAAAGUGAGGGACGUGUCCCUUUUUGUAUGUACCUUAUGAAUAAGGAUCGGCUAACUCCGUGCCAGCAGCCGCGGUAAUACGGAGGAUCCAAGCGUUAUCCGGAUUUAUUGGGUUUAAAGGGAGCGUAGGUUGACACAUAAGUCAGCUGUGAAAGUUUACGGCUCAACCGUGAAAUUGCAGUUGAUACUGUAUGUCUUGAGUGUACAAGAGGUGGGCGGAAUUCGUGGUGUAGCGGUGAAAUGCUUAGAUAUCACGAAGAACUCCGAUUG
rnacentral:rRNA from 1 species